rnacentral:rRNA from 1 species
CGGACGGGUGAGUAAUGUCUGGGAAACUGCCCGAUGGAGGGGGAUAACUACUGGAAACGGUAGCUAAUACCGCAUAACGUCGCAAGACCAAAGAGGGGGACCUUCGGGCCUCUUGCCAUCGGAUGUGCCCAGAUGGGAUUAGCUAGUAGGUGAGGUAACGGCUUACCUAGGCGACGAUCCCUAGCUGGUCUGAGAGGAUGACCAGCCACACUGGAACUGAGACACGGUCCAG